GGUGAGUUAAGUUAGGUAAGUGCUCAUAAAUGUAUAUAGAAUAAAAAGAGUAAACAUGAACUUAUUUGAAGAAUUGUCCCCCAGCAUCCUUUAUGUCCAGACAAAAGUACUUGGUCUUGUCAUAUCCUAAUCCCUAAAUGCAGAGAACUUGAUCAACCUUCACUCUCCCAGCCCUGCAUCUGUACACAUUCCAGGUCUUUAUAUUUCUUCUCUAUUUACUCCACAUUUCCUACCACUUAGUGCCCUUCAUGGGAUUUGAGAGUCUGGGAAUGGUUUCUCCAGUACGUCUUGUGACAGGAACAGCAGUGACAGAUGGAAACUGUUCGUAAUAUCUACCACAUAUGCUGGGCUCGCUCAGAUGACAGUUUCUUAGAAAAUGAAAAUUCAUCUGGCAAUAAAUAACAAGGGCUACAAAGCUGUUCCUACUCUUCGAUCCAGUAAUUCUACUGCUGGGAAUUUAUUUCACGGAAAUAAGGAGAAAAAAGUAAUCUGUCUAAAGAUGUUCAUAGCAGUACAAUUCAUAACAAAGGAAAAUAGAAACAAUCCAAAUGCCACUGGAGAAAUGGCAGGGAAAAUUUUGACAUUAUCACAAUGGAAUACUUAGAGCUAUUAAAAAUGACAAAUAUAUACAACAGGCCAAUUCUUCGAAAUGUACUUGGGAGGUAACCUACAGUGAGAGGCAGCAGACCAGAAAACAUUUAGUGAGUGUCUGUUGCAUAAAAGACACUUCAAAUGCUAAAAGGUGAUAGGAUUAUCUGGGUCCAAGGAUGAGGAAACUGAGGUUCAAGGGAUUUAGUGCCCUGCCUCGAGAGGAACUAGAAUUCAAGCCUGGAUCUCUCUGAUUCCAAAGUCCAUGUCCUCCUGCAAAUGCAGCUCCUGGCUGGUUUAAUUUUCUAGAAAAGAUAAAAAGAAAACAGAGAGUGAUCCAAAGAGAUUCAAGUUUAUUUUUAAUUGUCUUAUUAAUAAAUAUUUGUUUAAAUUUAAAUUAGACAAAAGAGAAAUAAAGUGAGAUCUGUCUGGUCUACGAAGCUGGACUAGGCAGUCCCCUAUAAGGAUCUGUGUCAUGUAGAAGUCCACGCUAAUUAUCUCUCCAUUGUGCAUCCAAAUCAUUUGAGGGGCUUGUUUAGUUCACACAUGCCCUCUCUUCACCCCACCCUCCCAUCCUGCAGUAAAACUCUAUGUCUAUGCCAUAAUGAGUUAUUGUUGCUGGUAGAAACACCAAUAUUUAUUUUUUUUAUUUGUUUGGAGUCCAAAACAAAGACUGAAAAAUCACUGGUUAUAGAUUUUCCUCAAAAGGUCCCUGUGAAAUCCCAAGAGCUUGUAUUUCAGAUGGGAAGAAUAAGUGUUUUCUUAUACUAAACGUGUCUGUUGUACAGGUGACGUUGGAUGAAAUGGAGGAUGCAUGGUGUUCGUGUGGAUUUUAGAGUAAGCGUUCUGGUCUUGGCCCAACUGCAAUUGUAGGUACAGUGACAACAGUCCUUCUGACUUUUCCUGAGGCCACCUGCACUCCAGCUGGCUGACUUCACUACCUCCUCCUUAAUUGUUUCCGAUUGGAGAAGCAAUUGGAUCACAUACUUGAAGUGACCAGUGAAUAAAGGACGUAAUGACGGAGUGUGUACUCUUCUGCACUCUGCAUGUCCCACACAACAGAUAAUAGCAUCGAUGGAAGCCUUGCUAUGUGCCGAGUACUGCCUGCCGCUGUUCAGUGUCCCUCAGCCCACCUGACAUUCUCACCUGUCAAUCAUCAACCACCACUACAUAAACGUGUUUAAGUCCCUGAGCAUUUCUUUGGCAUCACAUUGUGGGAAAACAGCUGGAUGAAGUUUCACCCAGUUUAAAGGCUAUUUGAGGAUGAUCUUACUUCAGAUGAGCUACAUGACAUGGAAUUUUCACCAUGGGAAGCCUUAGGUGCCCUAUCUUUGUGGGUCAGCCUGAACCAUGGCUUUGUUACAAGGGGAUCUCAGAAGCAGGAAAGCCCAUCCAAGGUGUGAAGUUGAAAAAUCCAAUAAG